GUCCCUAUAGUGUAAUCUGGAUUAGCACGUAAGCUUGCGGAGCUUAAGAUCUGGGUUCAAAUCCCAGUAGGGGCA
rnacentral:tRNA from 1 species